ACAGGACUGAAAAUCCU
rnacentral:tRNA from 1 species